rnacentral:rRNA from 1 species
GCUAACAUGCAGUCGAACGCUUUUUCUUUCACCGGAGCUUGCUCCACCGAAAGAAAAAGAGUGGCGAACGGGUGAGUAACACGUGGGUAACCUGCCCAUCAGAAGGGGAUAACACUUGGAAACAGGUGCUAAUACCGUAUAACACUAUUUUCCGCAUGGAAGAAAGUUGAAAGGCGCUUUUGCGUCACUGAUGGAUGGACCCGCGGUGCAUUAGCUAGUUGGUGAGGUAACGGCUCACCAAGGCAACGAUGCAUAGCCGACCUGAGAGGGUGAUCGGCCACACUGGGACUGAGACACGGCCCAGACUCCUACGGGAGGCAGCAGUAGGGAAUCUUCGGCAAUGGACGAAAGUCUGACCGAGCAACGCCGCGUGAGUGAAGAAGGUUUUCGGAUCGUAAAACUCUGUUGUUAGAGAAGAACAAGGAUGAGAGUAAAAUGUUCAUCCCUUGACGGUAUCUAACCAGAAAGCCACGGCUAACUACGUGCCAGCAGCCGCGGUAAUACGUAGGUGGCAAGCGUUGUCCGGAUUUAUUGGGCGUAAAGCGAGCGCAGGCGGUUUCUUAAGUCUGAUGUGAAAGCCCCCGGCUCAACCGGGGAGGGUCAUUGGAAACUGGGAGACUUGAGUGCAGAAGAGGAGAGUGGAAUUCCAUGUGUAGCGGUGAAAUGCGUAGAUAUAUGGAGGAACACCAGUGGCGAAGGCGGCUCUCUGGUCUGUAACUGACGCUGAGGCUCGAAAGCGUGGGGAGCGAACAGGAUUAGAUACCCUGGUAGUCCACGCCGUAAACGAUGAGUGCUAAGUGUUGGAGGGUUUCCGCCCUUCAGUGCUGCAGCAAACGCAUUAAGCACUCCGCCUGGGGGAGUACGACCGCAAGGUUGAAACUCAAAGGAAUUGACGGGGGCCCGCACAAGCGGUGGAGCAUGUGGGUUUAAUUCGAAGCAACGCGAAGAACCUUACCAGGUCUUGACAUCCUAUGACCACUCUAGAGAUAGAGCUUCCCCUUCGGGGGCAAAGUGACAGGUGGUGCAUGGUUGUCGUCAGCUCGUGUCGUGAAAAGUUGGGGUUAAGUCCCGCAACGAGCGCAACCCUUAUUGUUAGUUGCCAUCAUUUAGUU